rnacentral:rRNA from 1 species
GACGAACGCUGGUGGCGUGCUUAACACAUGCAAGUCGAACGGAAAGGCCCCUUUGGGGGUACUCGAGUGGCGAACGGGUGAGUAACACGUGAGUAACCUGCCCUUGACUUCGGGAUAACUUCAGGAAACUGGGGCUAAUACCGGAUAGGAAUCCUUGCUGCAUGGUGGGGGUUGGAAAGCUUCGGCGGUUUUGGAUGGACUCGCGGCUUAUCAGCUUGUUGGUGGGGUAGUGGCUUACCAAGGCUUUGACGGGUAGCCGGCCUGAGAGGGCGACCGGCCACAUUGGGACUGAGAUACGGCCCAGACUCCUACGGGAGGCAGCAGUGGGGAAUAUUGCACAAUGGGCGGAAGCCUGAUGCAGCAACGCCGCGUGCGGGAUGACGGCCUUCGGGUUGUAAACCGCUUUCAGCAGGGGCGAAGCUUGUGGUGACGGUACCUGCAGAAGAAGUACCGGCUAACUACGUG